AUUGAACGCUGGCGGCAGGCCUAACACAUGCAAGUCGAGCGAGCGGCGGACGGGUGAGUAAUGUCUGGGAAACUGCCUGAUGGAGGGGGAUAACUACUGGAAACGGUAGCUAAUACCGCAUACCAUCAGAUGUGCCCAGAUGGGGUUAGCUAGUAGGUGGGGUAAUGGAUCACCUAGGCGACGAUCCCUCGCUGGUCUGAGAGGAUGACCAGCCACACUGGAACUGAGACACGGGCCAGACUCCUACGGGAGGCAGCAGUGGGGAAUAUUGCACAAUGGGCGCAAGCCUGAUGCAGCCAUGCCGCGUGUGUGAAGAAGGCCUUCGGGUUGUAAAGCACUUUCAGCGGGGAGGCGUUACCCGCAGAAGAAGCACCGGCUAACUCCGUGCCAGCAGCCGCGGUAAUUC
rnacentral:rRNA from 1 species